UCAGCAGGAACGCUGAGCCUCAGUUAAAAAUAACUCCCUUGGGACGCCAUAGCAACAUUGUGAGUCGCUGGGAACUCGCCUAAUCAGACCUCUGCAAACAGGCAGGUCUGCGGACGCCAUAGCAACGGCCUGAGUCGCGCAGAACGCGCCGAAUCAGAACGCGCCGAAUCAGCCCACGCCCCAGCAGCAAUCCACGGGACCCCCCCCCCCCACACACACCCUCCACUGUACAGCCAUCUGGUUCCACACUACAAAGACGCAGAGGACACCGGACCACCAGACCACUGUACUGGACACAGAUUUAUAUGAAUAUGGAUCUGGCAGGCUGACAUUGCAGAUCGACAGAGAUGGGAGGAAUCAUCCCCUAAAUGCUGCUGAGAUAACCAGAUCCACAUAUUGAAGAAAGGAUCCUUAACAGACCCCAUGCACAGCAAUCAUUUCCAUAUGAACCAAGGACUGAACUAUAACAGAUAAAACUUUGAAAGUUUUAGGAGAAUACACAGACAUCUUUAUGAUUUCAGGAAGAUAGAAUUUCCUAAACAAGACAAUAGGAGCCCAAGCCAAAGGCAAACCUUCAACUUGACUAAAAGCAAAAACAUCUUUUGUUAAGAGACAUGAUAAAGAAUGUAGAACUUUGUGCCAUAAACCAGGAGAAGACGAAAAUAUGCCUUCAGUGUAUAACCAGUCAACAUGAUAAUAACAAACAAAUACAGAAAAGGAG
rnacentral:lncRNA from 1 species